UACGUAGGGCGCAAGCGUUAUCCGGAAUUAUUGGGCGUAAGGAGCUCGUAGGCGGUUUGUCGCGUCUGCCGUGAAAGUCCGGGGCUCAACUCCGGAUCUGCGGUGGGUACGGGCAGACUAGAGUGAUGUAGGGGAGACUGGAAUUCCUGGUGUAGCGGUGAAAUGCGCAGAUAUCAGGAGGAACACCGAUGGCGAAGGCAGGUCUCUGGGCAUUAACUGACGCUGAGGAGCGAAAGCAUGGGGAGCGAGCAGG
rnacentral:rRNA from 1 species